GCCGGGCGUGGUGGUGCACGCCUGUAAUCCCAGCACUCGGGAGGCAGAGGCAGGCGGAUUUCUGAGUUCGAGGCCAGCCUGGUCUACAAAGUGAGUUCCAGGACAGCCAGGGCUAUACAGAGAAACCCUGUCUCAAAAACAAAAACAAAAAUAAAAACAAAACAAAACAAAAACAAAAAACAGGGUUUCUUGUGUAUUCCUAGCUAUCCUGGAACUCACUCUGUAGACUGGUUGGGCCUCACACUCACAGAGAUCCACCUGACU
rnacentral:lncRNA from 1 species